rnacentral:lncRNA from 9 species
GCAGGAACUCCCCAAAGCAUGAAUUUUUAAUUCACCCUUUUUCAAAUUCCCUAAGUUGUAUUGAUGAGGUUGGCUUUAGCUAGCAAGCUUAAGGCUCCCUUCCUCCGUUUUUCAGUGGACCUCUCCUUUGCCAUCCUCAGUCCACCAAAGAGGUCGGCUAAUAGCAUGAGGGCCCAUGCUAUUUGUCACCCACAUCCUUACUCACCCACCUUGCUUUUACACACUACCUUCAACAUCACUGCUUGAAUAAUUCCUGACCAGCAUCAACAAUAACCAUGACCUUUAUUCUGUGUUCUCCUAGAAGAUCCUGAGGACCUGGGGGAGGAGUGGUCCAGCCUCAGGUCAGUCGUGGCCGCUCCUUCUGCCACCAUGGUCCUUGUAGAUGAGGUAACUGAUGAAAAUGAUACUUAUACAGAAAUUAUCACUCCAGUGACGAACAAUCAGGAUGAAGAAGAAGUAGAUUGCAUAGGAUGCUGCUUCCGGAUCCAAAGGAACAAUCGACAGACGUCACAAAGAUCCACCUCUGGCUGCAUCAGAAAAUUAUGCUCCUGGCGCCACCAGCGAGUGCACCCCGCUAAUGGGUCGGGGACAGAAGAAACCCCGGGCUCCCAUGAAAGGCUGCCCAGCACCGCAGGAGGAAUAGAGGCUCCAAGUGGCUGCACAAUGCCGGCCGAUGACGCAACUAAUAAUAAUGGCAUGGCUUUGGAGCGCCCCACUCCAGUGACAAACAAUCGGGGUGAAGAAGAAGAAGGUGGGUCUUCCUUGCGGGCAUUGGUUGGAGAGCAGCCAGAUCCUGGGUUCCUUUUGGAAAGGGGGUAGUCUGGGAUGUGGAGCAGGCAGCUCUUUCCCAGUCAUAGUGAUGCCCUGGUGGCACCUGCCCUGGACACAAGUCUCUUGUGUUGAUUCCUUGGGUUGUGACACAUUCCGAGGGACAGGGAGUGAGGUCCAUGUGUGAGCACAUGUGGUGUAAGUAUCUGUUUCCUCAUGAGCUCUCUCCUAUUUAUACAGAAAAUACACCGCUCAACGUUCCUUAAGAAACAUCCCAUCACCUCUGCGUACCACCCCUAUAGGCAUGCAUUCGCCCCUCACCACUGCUGUCCCCACGUUGGCUUAAUUUUCCCGUUGCUCAGGUGGAGAUGGUGCAGAGAGAGUUGGCCCAAGCUCUUGACCUCCUACAUGGGAAAGCCAAAGUGGGACCCAGGCUGGGUUCCCUAUGGGGACGCUCUGGACCCCUGACCUGCACCUCUCCCUCAGCCAGGACUUGGUCGUUCGUGGGGAGCACGGAGCGGGGAGGGUCCCUGCUCCGUGUCUAUGCCCGGGAAUUCCAGGGUCUCCAGAGGGCCUGUCGAUGCUGUGCAUUUUAAAAGGUCCCUGUCAGUGCUGCGGUCAUUGCUUCAACAUGGCCAAAGCAGAUGGGAAUCGGCGAGGCGUAUGCUUGUAUUGGACAGUGUCACUGUCAUUCUCACACUUGACCACCCUAGGUAGCACACACCCAGGCGACCUUGCAAGUAAGAGCUCACAGUUCACCCUCAUCCUUAGCCUGGUGUGCGGCACCAUUGUACAAACUCGCUGCCCAUCUGGGUGAGAAGGACUCCGUGCUCCCUCUGUGUUUCUCUCCAUGAAGUAAGUCCCUCUUGUUGUAAGGCUCUUGGGAGGGCAGACAUCCUUUUUGCUCAAGGCCCAUGCACCAAAUGAAGCCUGCAGAAAAACUGUCAUGUGAUGGAUAGUGGUUGGAUUUCAGUAUUGUCAUGUGUUCUAUUUUUGGUUUUUAAGAUCAACGUUUUGGGUUUAAGAUCCCUUCAUUAGCAUACUUUUCCUAGAAUUACCCCUCCAGGAAAGUUCUAAGUUUUCUUAAAUGAUUUUAAUUUUUUCCUUUACACUCGGUUUAAAUUUUUCUGUUAAUUUCUGCUGUGCAGGAAAGUGAUCCUGUCGCACACGCGUGCACACACGCACACAGACACACCCAUAUACAUGCUUACAUUUUCUCCCACUAUCCUCUAUCACGUUCCUUCGUGAGUGGCUGGAUAUUGUAUCCCUGUGCGAUCCAGUGGGCUCUCAUCGCAUAGCCAGUCCAGAUGCAAUUGUUUGCAUCCCUAAAGCCCAGAGUCCCAGUGCAUCCCACUUCCUCCCUGACCCCACUGGCAAGCACAAGUCUCUUCUGCAAGUCCUUGAGUUUCUGUUCCGUGGAAAGGAUCAUUUGUGCUGUGUUUUAGAGUCCAGAUAUAAGUGACAUCAUGUGGGGUUGGUGUUUCUCUUUCUGAGGGACUUUGCUUAGGAUGAGCGCCUCUAGUUCCAUCCACUCUGCUGCAAAUGGCACUAAUUCCUUCCUUUCACGGCUGAGGAGUACCGCAUUGUGUAUAUAUCCCACCUCUUGUUAACCCAUUCAUCUGUCGGUGGACGUUUAGGUGGUUUCCACGUCUUGGCUAGCGUGAGGAGUGCCGCACUGGACACUCGGCGCUGUCGUCAACGUCCAUGGGUGCCUGUAUCUUGUUCAAGGCAAGUCUUGUCCCCACAUACGCCCAAGAGUGGGAUUUCUGGGCCACAUGCUAGUUCUAUAUUUAGUUUUCCGAGGUCCCUGCAUGGUGCUUUCCAUAGCGGCUGUGCCAAGUUACAUUCCUACCAACAGGGUGGGAGGGUACCCUCUUCUGCACACCCUCUCCAGCAUUUGUAAUUUCUAGCCUUACUAAUGAUGGCCCUUCUGACAGGUGCGAGGUGGUACUUCUUAGCAGCUUGGAUUUGCCUUGUUCUAAUCAUUCAUGGUGUUGAGCAUGUUUUCGUGUGCCUGUUGGCCAUCUGUCUAUCUUCCUUGGGUGACUGUCUAUUCAGUUCUCUUGCCCAUUUUUCAAGUGGGUCGUUGUUUGUGUUUGCUGUUGAUGGUGUCUUGUCUUAGGUUUAAGUCUUUAAGCCGUUUUGAGUUUCUUUUUGUGCACGGUUUGAGGGUGUUGUUUUCCAGUUUCCUGGAUUUUCAUGUGGCUGUCCAGCUUCCCAGCACCACGCGCUGAACAGACUGUCUUUUCCCCCCUUGACAUUCUUGCCCCCUUUGUUGAAGAAUAAUUGACCGUCGGUUUGGGGUUUAUUUCUGGGUUCUGUCUUCUGUUCCAGUGGUCUGUGUGUCGGUUUUGGUACCUUUGCCACACUGUCUUGCUUACCGUAGCUUUGUAAUAUUGACCGAAGUCUGGGAGAGGUGUGCCUCCUGCUUGGUUUUUGCUCCUCAGGAUUGCCUUGGCCAUUCCGGGCCUGUUUAGGUUCCGUGUAAAUGUUUGGACGGUUUUGUUCUAGUUCUGCGAAAACGAUCACGGAUAGGGAUGGCAUUGCAUCUGUAGAUUGCUUUGCGUAGAACGGCCAUUUUUAGGAUAUUCAUUUUUUCCAAGCCAGGAGCGUGGCCUAUGUCUGCCCUUCUUUGACUCCUCCUUAAUUUCCUUGAGUCAUGUUUUAUUGCUCUCGGCGCAGAGGUCUUGCAGCUCCUGGCUCAGGUUGGUCCCCAGAUGUUUAAUGCUUUGGGUUCUUCCUUGGACCCCUGCUUGAGUGGCUAAGAGGAAGGCCAUCCCCUCCCCUGGAGUGAACACUGGGGGAGGUGUCUCCUUGCAAGCCUGGGAGAGCAGCCUUCCUCCUGUUCCUUGGCCCUCUGCAGCUACCCGUGUGCACUCCAGGGCCUUUGCCCAUCCCCUUGUCUACCGCCUCUCCUUGUUUUGUCUUCCUUCUUUCGCGUUUACACAGGGUCAUUUUUCUCAUGCAUCCUCCUCACCUGACAAAAAAUAAAAAAGAACAAAGAGGAAAAGGGGAGAGCUCUAGUCCACCUAGAGGGACUCCACACUCAUAAACCAAUUGCCUCCCAAAGGCCCCACCUCCCGGUACCAUCCCACUGGAAGUUGGGGUUCCAACAUAGGAUGCAAUUAGGAGGGAACACAGAGGUGCACUCCAUAAGCAUGGUGGCUAAUGCUCUUUAUAGGCAGCAGGAUUUGGCUAGGCUGUUCAUGAUACAAUGCAUGUAGCGGUGAUAUUCUCCAAGUUGGCCCUGUCCCAUCAUUUUUACAUCAUUUAUCUUGAUGCAUUAGUAUCGAUAGUCACCAGCUUUUCAAAACAUUUGUAGUAUCUGACUAGAGGAAGAUCGCCCCCCCACCCCACCCCCAAACAAAACAAAUCCACCAUAGGGCUUGGCCAAAGGAAUGCCUAAUCUACAUGGCAAGUUGAAUCUAUAUCCGAACUCAGUUAAUUCUCCACUACUGAAAUCAAUAAUUGGACAUUGACAAGUUUCUUUUAGUUGCAAAUUGAAUGUGCCCCUCUUUGCCAGCAAACACCUACCAGUUCCUUCUUGGAUAAAUAGGCACGUCGUAAGUCUAAUCUGUUUAAAUGGAUGAAUCGUUGGUGCACCAUCACUAUCCCAUCCAAAAUGUUCUGAGAUUUUUACUUGAGACAUAAAUUACCAUGUGUGCUUUACAAAACAUUCUGCUCCUUUUAUGACUGGACUGGGACACUUCUGGCCGUACGUAACUUCUAGGGGAAAAGUUGUAUCCUCCUCCUGAAAAACCGAUUGCCCCCUUUGACAUGCAUGUCUAGAAAUAGUCACAAUGGUUUAAUAGAAAAAUUUGUCUUGAAACCCCUGUGCUCACGUUCCUAAGUAGGAGGAACUUUUCUUAAGGGCGCCGUUAAUCCUUGGUGUGAAUAAUGGUCACAAUAUUCUUCCUCCUUUUCUUUCUCAAAGCCAGAAAUUACAGAAAUAAUUACUGAUUUUCUUUUUUUCUUUUUCUUUCUUCCUUUUUUUUUUUUUUCUUUUUGGCAAAAGAAGAAAACUUUCCUCAGGUUGUAUGUACGAGUAACUGUAGUAAGAUACAAGCAUGUGACAAAUUGGAGACUUACUUGCAAUGUGCAUCAAAAUAGUAAUUUUUGUGAGCAGCAAACUUGAAUAGGACACUGCAGAAUAGCAGUCGUCAUGAAACAUGAAAACAUUCACCCUGGUUACAAUAACCUUAAAUCUCACGUUUUGAAAUGGUUUGAUUGGCAAAUGUCUAGUGACUCAGGAAGAGUAGAAAUGGAGGGGUAGUUCUUCCUUAAAUUCUGCACAUGCUGGCUUUUUGGCCUCUUCACCCUGCAAGGUUCACUCUCAACUCCUCCUGGGGGACAGGUCGUUCUCUCUCAUAGAAAAUUAUUUUCUUAGUCAGAGGGUUCUGUGGGAGCCUGAGAUUCCGUUUCGGAAAUGACAAGGCUCCUCUGAAAAGCCAAGCUUGUCCAUGGAAACACGCUCUCUGCCGGCAGCCGUUGGACCCAUCCUGUGCAGGGGUUGACUUCCCUCUGAAAGUGGUACGAUGACACGUCACCACGUAAUGUGCUUGUGCACUUCUUGCCUCAUGGUCAGGCUGUCGCUCUGUGGCCUGAGAGUUUGUACGUGGUGGCCAGUGUGACGCUCUCACUUCACGGCUCAUGCUUUAGGAAUGGGCAAUCUCAAUCACUGUUCCUAAGGUAAGUUUACAUUGCUCCCCGAGUGGCUGUUCCUUCAGAUGGGCUCGCUCACUUUGUCUCCUGCAUUUUUCCUUCUUGUGUUUUUCUUCUCAUUUCUACCCCUCUGAGCUAUCUCUAGAGUUAUGCGUAUAACUUCCGGGUUCGUUGUCUUAAUUAAUAUGUCUGGUCCACCUGCCUCAGAUUCAUCACCCGUCAUUGUUGUGACGCUUGGACUGUCACUUGUUUACCCCUCAUGUGGGUCCUGUUGCACUUCCUCACCUUCAACAGGACUGAGUAUCAGAGGAGAUGAAAUAGGUACUGUCCAUGAG